GCUUGGCAUUCAUUCUCUUAUGCAGUUGAUAGCAAAGGUUUGGAAAAAUGAUCUCCCUUACCGCUGCAGUCUACAAAACAUUGCUGUUAGUGGUGGCUAAAUUUUAUGGUAUGGCUCCACUGAAAACAAUACGGUUGCUGUUGACCAUCUACCACCAUCGUGUAAACUGGUGGUCACCAACCCUAGUCCUGGGGAUCUACCUUCCUGCAGAGUCUAAUUCCAACCACAACCUGCCGCACCUGCUCCAGCUAAUCACCACCUUCAGAGGUUCUCUACUGGCUGGGUCAGAUGCAGACUGUUAGGAAAAGAGGAGAGGCAGCAUUUUAGUUGCAGGUCAAAACUAAACUCUGCAGGAAGAUCUCCAAGAGCAGGGUUGGUGACCACUAUUGUAAACACACUGUCAAUAUUGUCACUACAGUCACAUCUCUGUGUCAUAAUUCAUUUAGAUAAAGUUGAGAAUCUAUUUAUUGUUUGUCGCCCUGUUGCUGUGUUGCUUGUUGAGGCUACACACUGCCUACUACCUUAGGAAAUGACUGGCCAACUGUUGCUGUGUAAUUGGCAUAUCCACCCAGAAAUGUAUUCUUUUGUAGCAACUGUUGUGAGGUUAAGCAACCUUUAUAGGACACUGGCCAAAUUCCCAUUUAACAUAAUUGGAAGUUGAAGCACACAUGCAAUUUUUCUCAAAACGCUACAUAGUUAAUAACAGAAUAAUAAGUUUGCCGGUUAAUGGAUUAAAAUGCUUAUUAUUUAUACUGUUUAUCUGUCAUCCUUUCUUUCAGGUACUCUGGUGGUGACCACAGCACAGGACCUGGCCAGUGUGACAGAAACUGUUAGAGAAGCUAUUGAUGCUACAGAGCCACCAAAGGAGCAGGUCACAACAGUAGCUCCAGAGGAAGCUGUCAAUGAAGUAUCUGUACUACCUGCUACUAAAGCUGCUGUGACAGAAACAGAAGCACAAGUAACUGAUACAGAAGCUCCAGUCGUAUCCACAGUGGUAGCUCCAGAUGGGCCUACUGUCACAGAAGCUACACCUGAGCCUGAUGAGACAACAAGUGUGGUAGUAACAGUGGCAGCUGUAGGGACAGUGGCAGCUGUAGGGACAGAGCCAGCUGUAGUGACAGAGGCAAAAGAAGAGGAAAAUGCAGCUCCAGAGGCCGAAGCAGAGUUAGAGCAAGAGACUGCAACACAGGCAGAUGUGGAAGUGGAAGAUUCAGGCUUGAGUACAGGCCAUGUGGUGGGCAUUGUGAUUGGUGCCCUGGUAGCUGUGGUCAUCAUCAUCGCUGUGAUAGUUGUGGUGGUCAGGAGGAUGGGCCAAUACUCCCCCUGAAAAGGAAGGCAGCGCGACAGGAAGAGAAGAAGAAAAAGUUCUUGAAAUUCUGAACUACUGAACCGACGUCAUUUCCUGUCAUUAAACAAAAAGCAAGCUAGGAGCACUCUGAACCAUCCAGGACUAUGAGGACGGUGUACUCACGCUCCCUCCCCACCACCACCAACCACAGAGCUAUUGAUAUGGAUGCUCUGCCCAACCCCCAUCAUCUCCCCUAUGUGUACCCCCCUCCCCCACCCCCUCACUACCAAAGAUUGAGACAGGAAGUCAAACCGACCCUCUGUGUUCUUAGGCACAGUAAUGUAAAGGAAAAGAGAGAGAGGAGGAAUGUGAAUGUGCAGACACACCUCACAGAGUCAGGGUCUGGAAAGAGGACCUAAUGAACCACAUUAACAAACACACACAUACCAGCAACCUUAAUAUCUGUCGACAUAUCUCUUAAAAACUAGGGAGAAUUAUAGGCAAUGAAAUAAAUACAUACAUUUCUGUAUUUAUACCAGAAGAUGGAGAUCAUAAACAAUAAAAGUCUCAAAUCGUCGCUGUCAUAUCAAAACCGUGUACCAUCCUCUUUUUUUUUAGGUUUUUAACUUUUCUGAUAUGCAAGGGAAAUAUAUUUCCAUAUGUUUUUCAAAAGAUGUGUCAGGUUUGUAAUAAAUUUUGACAUAUGUGAAUUUAGAAAUGGACACUAUUACGUUUAUUACAUCUACAUAAGUGCACAUAUGUAAAUGUAUUGCCAUAUAUGCAUAUAUUGUCAUAUAUUUCAUUAUUAAAAAUGGCACAGGUAGACAUAUUUGGAACAUAUAUUUUAAAACAUCACGUAUAUUGCACAUAUAUUUUUAAUAUGAGCAAAUGUAUGUGCAUAUAAUUUUCUUCCAUGUAGGUAUUAUUGUUUACACCAUUGGAAAACACCAGCUCCCCUUUACAUUGUGUGAACAUUUCACAGUAAUGGACCAACAGAAAAGGUCCAAACUAAAAUAAUAGCUUGUUACAUUGAUGUACAUUCAGGUUAAGAACAUGUUGUCAUUCUUAAGACCUGAGUUUUUGUUACAACAGCGACAAAACACAAUCUUCAUCUGCCAUUAUCUUAAUUUUCAUAGCAUUCUGCAUAUCGUUAGCAUGCAUGCACACACAUAGACGCUCUAUGCACAUUCUUUUCCAAUCACAAUGACAGGUCAACUGAAAUGUCCGGCAGUAGAAUGAAGCAAUAAAGACAGCUUAUCACCAGAUUCUAAACAGGAGACUGUAAGCUGUUAUAAGCUGUCACAAGCAGACUCUGUUAGGAUGUCUUACGCCUGGUCUUAGUGUAGCUUUGACUGUUGAAUAAAGUUUGUUUCGUAUGUAGAUGUAACUUGACAUUCUAGUAGCUUUAACUGUGGCAUUUAAAGCCUUAAUCCGGAGCUGUGAACCUUAGCAGAGGGGCUAGCACCACUGACUUGGGGACAGCUGGAUACUUCCUAAAAAUGGCUUCUUUAAUGUGAAACUGAAUUGACUGUGUUUGUUAACAGCCUCCCUUACCAAUAGUAAAUCUCAUCUCAUUUUGCGUUUCCCAAAUUUGGACUAUAUUUACAGAUGUAAAAAGCCUGUAGACACCAUCUCUAUCUGCUGUCUACAAUAUGUGGUCUGGCCUUCAGAUUUGUGUACUGACCUCUGGUUCACUGGACUAGAAGUGGUUCUUUUUGCUGCAUUUUUAAGGGGUGUGUGAGUUAUGCUCUGCUUGCUUUAAGAGAUCAAUAAUACAUGCACUGACUGAUAAACAAUGUUUGGUAGAAAAGGCCUUUAGACACUGCAACCGUUUGCAACGAUGCUUGAUUUGCCUUUUUUAUGCUUCAUAGUCCACAUGCCAAGUCCUUUUACUGUCUGCUUUCAACAAAAGGCAUUUUAUUUAAUUGCAGUGUUUUUUCUCCCUUUUUGGAUGUUCAUACUGUUUAAAUAAAAAAGUGAAAAAAGAACAGUGUGAAUUUCUUCAGUAUUGGGGGUCUGGGGGUUGUCAACC
ensembl:lncRNA